GACAGAGGCCCCAAGCGUUAGGCGGAAUCACUGGGCUUAAAGCGUGUGUAGGCGGAUCGUUAAGUGUCUUGUGAAAUCCCACGGCUCACCCGUGGAACUGCUGGGCAUACUGGCGAUCUUGGGCCAACUAGGGGCAGCCGGAACAAGCGGUGGAGCGGUGAAAUGCGUAGAUAUCGCUUGGAACGCCGAAGGUGAAAACAGGCUGCUGGGGUUGUGCCGACGCUGAGACACGAAAGCAUGGGGAGCAAACAGG
rnacentral:rRNA from 1 species